UUGCCCUAGUAACGGCGAGUGAAGCGGCAACAGCUCAAAUUUGAAAUCUGGCCUUCGGGUCCGAGUUGUAAUUUGUAGAGGAUGCUUUUGGUGAGGUGCCUUCCGAGUUCCCUGGAACGGGACGCCAUAGAGGGUGAGAGCCCCGUCUGGUUGGACACCGAUCCUCUGUAAAGCUCCUUCAACGAGUCGAGUAGUUUGGGAAUGCUGCUCUAAAUGGGAGGUAUAUGUCUUCUAAAGCUAAAUAUUGGCCAGAGACCGAUAGCGCACAAGUAGAGUGAUCGAAAGAUGAAAAGCACUUUGAAAAGAGAGUUAAAAAGUACGUGAAAUUGUUGAAAGGGAAGCGCUCAUGACCAGACUUGGGCUUGGUUGAUCAUCCAGGGUUCUCCCUGGUGCACUCUUCCAGUUCAGGCCAGCAUCAGUUCGCUGCGGGGGAUAAAGGCUUUGGGAAUGUGGCUCCUUCGGGAGUGUUAUAGCCCAUUGUGUAAUACCCUGUGGUGGACUGAGGACCGCGCUUUUGCAAGGAUGCUGGCGUAAUGGUCAUCAGUGACCCGUCUUGAAACACGGACCAAGGAGUCGUCUUCGUAUGCGAGUGUUCGGGUGUUAAACCCCUACGCGUAAUGAAAGUGAACGCAGGUGAGAGCUUCGGCGCAUCAUCGACCGAUCCUGAUGUUCUCGGAUGGAUUUGAGUAAGAGCAUACGGGGCCGGACCCGAAAGAAGGUGAACUAUGCCUGUAUAGGGUGAAGCCAGAGGAAACUCUGGUGGAGGCUCGCAGCGGUUCUGACGUGCAAAUCGAUCGUCAAAUAUGGGCAUGGGGGCGAAAGACU
rnacentral:rRNA from 1 species